AUGAAAAACCUCUCUUUUUUCCUUGUUCUUGCUGUCAUUUCAACCGGCCUCCUUCUUUCCCCAACAACCACUGCUGACAUGCCUCCACCCUCCACCAUGUGUUUCAACAACUGUCCUUGCCACAAUCCACCAUGUGGUGAUGGUGUUCCCCCCGGUUUCCCAUCUGUCGCCACUGCCACCGCCACCUCCACCGCCAAGAUUCCUGCUGCUGCAGAAGAUGAUAAUAAUUAG
rnacentral:lncRNA from 1 species